GGAUACGACCAUUGCGGGCAUCCGUUGGUGGUGGAAAGUUUUUUCGGUCGGGGAUGGGCUCGCGGCCUAUCAGCUUGUUGGUGGGGUGACGGCCUACCAAGGCGACGACGGGUAACCGGCCUGAGAGGGCGACCGGUCACACUGGGACUGAGACACGGCCCAGACUCCUACGGGAGGCAGCAGUGGGGAAUAUUGCGCAAUGGGCGGAAGCCUGACGCAGCGACGCCGCGUGGGGGAUGACGGCCUUCGGGUUGUAAACCUCUUUCAGCGGGGACGAAGCCCUUUGGGGUGACGGUACCUGCAGAAGAAGCGCCGGCUAACUACGUGCCAGCAGCCGCGGUAAUACGUAGGGCGCGAGCGUUGUCCGGAAUUAUUGGGCGUAAAGAGCUCGUAGGCGGUUUGUCGCGUCGGAUGUGAAAGCCCAUGGCUUAACUGUGGGUCUGCAUUCGAUACGGGCAGACUAGAGGUAGGUAGGGGAGCAUGGAAUUCCCGGUGUAGCGGUGAAAUGCGCAGAUAUCGGGAGGAACACCGGUGGCGAAGGCGGUGCUCUGGGCCUUACCUGACGCUGAGGAGCGAAAGCGUGGGGAGCGAACAGGAUUAGAUACCCUGGUAGUCCACGCCGUAAACGUUGGGCGCUAGGUGUGGGGUUCU
rnacentral:rRNA from 1 species